ACGGGACAUUUGAAAGUGAAGUGGAUCACCUUCACUUUCAAAUGUCCCGCUCU
rnacentral:pre_miRNA from 1 species